rnacentral:Y_RNA from 1 species
AUCUAGUCCAAGGGUAGUUGAGUUCUCUCAAUUGAUUGUUCACAGUCAGUUAGAAAUCAAACUCCUUGUUCUACUCUUUUCCCCUUCUCACUCCGACACUUUAUUAGUCUUAA